rnacentral:rRNA from 1 species
UACGUAGGCAGCAAGCGUUGUUCGGAGUUACUGGGCGUAAAGGGUGUGUAGGCGGUUUUUAAGUUUGGUGUGAAAUCUCCCGGCUCAACUGGAGGGUGCGCCGAAUACUGAAAGACUAGAGUGCGGGAGAGGAAGGUGGAAUUCCUGGUGUAGCGGUGAAAUGCGUAGAUAUCAGGAGGAACACCGGUGGUGUAGACGGCUUUCUGGACCGUAACUGACGCUGAGACACGAAAGCGUGGGUAGCAAACAGG